rfam:Daucus carota subsp. sativus cultivar DH1 chromosome 7, whole genome shotgun sequence.
UUACAUACCUGGACGGGGUCAAUGGGUGAUCAUGAAGGCUCAUGGCCUAGGCAAGUGGCCUUCAUUGCACCUCUCGAAGGUGCACUAGCCUAACAUCUCCUUAUGGAGACUGUACGUCUUAAUUUCUGGUAGUGGGGGCCUGCGCUUGCGCGGCCCCUUC